rnacentral:rRNA from 1 species
GGAUCCAGACUUUGAUCAUGGCUCAGGACGAACGCUGGCGGCGUGCUUAACACAUGCAAGUCGAACGGAGAACUUAUUUCGGUAAGUUCUUAGUGGCGAACGGGUGAGUAACGCGUGGGCAACCUGCCCUCCAGUUGGGGACAACAUUCCGAAAGGGAUGCUAAUACCGAAUGUGCUCCCUCCUCCGCAUGGAGGAGGGAGGAAAGAUGGCCUCUGCUUGCAAGCUAUCGCUGGAAGAUGGGCCCGCGUCUGAUUAGCUAGUUGGUGGGGUAACGGCUCACCAAGGCGAUGAUCAGUAGCCGGUCUGAGAGGAUGAACGGCCACAUUGGGACUGAGACACGGCCCAAACUCCUACGGGAGGCAGCAGUGGGGAAUCUUCCGCAAUGGACGAAAGUCUGACGGAGCAACGCCGCGUGAGUGAUGAAGGUCUUCGGAUUGUAAAACUCUGUUGUUAGGGACGAAAGCACCGUGUUCGAACAGGUCAUGGUGUUGACGGUACCUAACGAGGAAGCCACGGCUAACUACGUGCCAGCAGCCGCGGUAAUACGUAGGUGGCAAGCGUUGUCCGGAAUUAUUGGGCGUAAAGAGCAUGUAGGCGGGCUUUUAAGUCUGACGUGAAAAUGCGGGGCUUAACCCCGUAUGGCGUUGGAUACUGGAAGUCUUGAGUGCAGGAGAGGAAAGGGGAAUUCCCAGUGUAGCGGUGAAAUGCGUAGAUAUUGGGAGGAACACCAGUGGCGAAGGCGCCUUUCUGGACUGUGUCUGACGCUGAGAUGCGAAAGCCAGGGUAGCAAACGGGAUUAGAUACCCCGGUAGUCCUGGCCGUAAACGAUGGAUACUAGGUGUAGGAGGUAUCGACCCCUUCUGUGCCGGAGUUAACGCAAUAAGUAUCCCGCCUGGGGACUACGAUCGCAAGAUUGCAACUCAAAGGAAUUGACGG